CCGGACGCACGGGUGAGUAACACGUGAGUGACCUGCCUUUUAGACUGGAACAACUUACCGAAAGGUAAGCUAAUGCCGGAUGAGUUAUAUAAGUGCAUGUUUAUAUAGGAAAAGUUGGGGAGACCUGACGCUGAAAGAUGGACUCGCGUCCCAUUAGCUAGUUGGUAGGGUAAUGGCCUACCAAGGCGACGAUGGGUAGCCGGCCUGAGAGGGUGGCCGGCCACACUGGGACUGAGACACGGCCCAGACUCCUACGGGAGGCAGCAG
rnacentral:rRNA from 1 species